rnacentral:rRNA from 1 species
GUCUAUAGCCAUUCCACUCUGAAUCCAUCCUUAUUUGAUCUCAGAAGCUUAAGCAGUGCUGAGCCUGAUUAAGAACUUGGAUGGGAAACUGCAUGGGAAUAUGGGAUGCUGUAGACU